rnacentral:rRNA from 1 species
CAUCUAAGCACGAAACUUGCCCCGAGAUGAGUUCUCCCUGACUCCUUGAGAGUCCUGAAGGAACGUUGAAGACGACGACGUUGAUAGGCCGGGUGUGUAAGCGCAGCGAUGCGUUGAGCUAACCGGUACUAAUGAACCGUGAGGCUUAACCUUACAACGCCGAAG